UCCCUGGUAACUCAGAUGGUGAAGAAUCUGCCUGCAAUGCAGGAGACCUGGGUUCGAUUCCUGGGUUGGGAA
rnacentral:tRNA from 1 species